UUCGUUUCUUGAAAAUACCUCCAAACUUCCAAGGGAUGCUCUUAAAGCCACUUUCCCUUGGCUUUGGAGAUAGGAAGCAGCAGUUCUGCCCCAGGACACCUGAACCUGCAUUUUGCCCAAGCUGGCCACCUGUUUCUGUCUCAGUCUUCUUAUAUUUGUACUGGAGGGAUGAAGGCUGUUCGUCCUUCACUGCCUCAGAGGUGGCAGGAAAGAGCUGAGUGAAGCUGAGAUUGAAAUGCUCUGGAAUUCGUGGCGUCAUGAAGAUACAGCCUGGCUAACUAUCCCCAGACCCAUUUCCUCUUUUUCUUCAGCACACAGGUAGACUACAUUUCUCAGCCUCUCUUGCAGUUGGGUCUGGCCACAAGACAGAGUUGUGGCCGAUAACAUGUGAGUGAAGAUGUCUCCCAUUUCCAGCCCUGCCUGUGGAAAUCUUCCAAGGCAUGAUACUCCAGAUGCUUAUCUUUUUUGCAGCCUUGAUGCAGACAAACAACUUUGGAGGCUACACAUAAAGAGGGCAGAGCCAAAAGAUACAAGGGACCUCGAUCCCUGAGUCACUUUGUGGAAGGCUGCCUCCCUACCAGGAACACCCACAUUUAACCGUCAGGUGAGUGAAAGGUGUAUGCUUUUGUGUGGAGACAUUUCAGUUAUAGGGUAUGUUUGUUGCCUCAGCUGGCACUGCCUUAUCGGACACACGAGUUCACAGAGCAAAUGGGAAAAUUAGCCUGCAUCCACACUGUCCACACUGUAAGAAUUUCUACGAGUUUCAGGAAUGUAUCUGCCAUGCUCUACAAAGUAUGCACAAUGUUUUAAUUCCACUUCACAGAAAGGUUUUCUUUCCAAACCCUCUUCAGGGGCCUUCCCUAUUAAAAAGUCCCAUUUAUAGAAACUACUACUUAGCAUUUUUGGAACUUGUUAUCCUAUUCAGCAGAGUCUAAGUCAGGAGGCUUUGAACUCGGACAAUUACUGCUCUUGAUUAACAACAAGAACUGAUGAGUUGGCCUUUCCAGUGUGCUAAGCAAACUCAGCCAAGCAGAAAAUAUCACUGAAGGGGAAACAAUGGGAAGUGAUUUUCUUGGUUACAUUAUGAGCCGUCGUGAUAUUUACACAUGUUUGUGGAUAAUGUGGGAAACUCUGCUGCUUGCGUGCCCUUGCAGAUGACACUGUUGGGCUUGAAACGCCAUGAUUCCCACUUGAUCUGGGCUGCAGAUGUCAUCCUGCAGGCAGCCAGCCUAGUGGAAAAACCACAGACCUGGGAGUGGGCAGGUGUGGGUGCAGGAUACCUGAACCGCGUCUUUGGAGCACCUGUUCCUCCAGGUGUCCCUGGGGCCAGCACCCAGGCCUGGAGCCUCAUAUUGUCAGACAGCCCAGUGACAGCAUAAGUGUCCAUUUCUUUAGACCUUUGACACAACUGGGUAUUUUAAUUUUUUUAAAUGUUUAUUUUUGAGAGAGACAGACAGACAGACAGACAGAAUGUGAGUGGGGGAGGAGCAGAGAGAGGGAGACACAGAAUCCAAAGCAGGCUCCAGGCUCUGAGCUGUCAGCACAGAGCCUGAUGCGGGGCUCGAACCCAUCAACUGCGAGAUCAUGACCUGAGCCGAAGUCAGACGCCCAACCUACUGAGCCACCCAGGCACCCCAACAGAACUGGGUAUUUUAAAAGAGAUCUUUGUGAAGUUGAGUCAUGUUGCUUUUAAUCCCAGAUUGCACAUUUACUUAUAUUUAAUAUGUCUGCAUUUGUGAGUGAUCUAUGUAAGUCCUUUAUCCAUUUCUCCUUUGGGGAUAGUAGUAGUUUUCAUAUCAUUGCAUACAAAAUUUUCAUUUAUUAAGGGCAUUGCACCUCUUCAUGUUACUUAGGUUUAUUUUUCCAAGUUAUUUGUCCUUUUUUUGUUCAUUUUUUGUGCAUUUAAAGUUAAAAAAAUUAA